GUCUUUUUGAUUAUAAUAAAAAGUCUGAUCUGCUCCAUGAUAAGUUAAAUAGCUGCAGUAUCUUGACUGUACAAAGGUAGCAUAAUAAAUAGUUUUUUAAUUGAAGACUUGAAUGAAGGAUUUGACGAGAAAAUGACUGUCUCAGUUUUAAUAUUUUUGAAUUUAACUUUUUAGUAAAAAGGCUAAAAUAGUUUUAAAAGACAAGAAGACCCUAUAGAGUUUUAUAGUUUAAAAUUUUUUGUUUUUUUAGCAUUAAUAAAAUUAGAAUUUUUUUAAAUUAUUUGGUUGGGGUGAUUGGAAAAUUUAAUAAACUUUUUUAAAUUUUAAUUACUUAUUUGUAAAUUAAUUAUCUAAUUAUUAAAUUUAAAAUAAAUUACCUUAGGGAUAACAGCGUAAUAUAUUUUUAAAGUUCUAAUUUAAAUAAAUGUUUGCGACCUCGAUGUUGGAUUAAAAUAAAUUAUUAGUGCAGUAGCUAAUUAAUUAAGUCUGUUCGACUUUUAAAAUUUUACA
rnacentral:rRNA from 1 species